GGACCAUUCCACGAGGCGGCGCCGCUGCUGCGCUGAACCAGCGCGCUGAGUCCUUCCGAGCCGGUCGGAUAACGGCCCGUGUCGAGAUAGUACAGGUCGAGCGCACUGGAAAAGCCCUGAAUCUGAAUCCUGGCCNACCUUUGACUCGCCAAGAUAAUUCAACACGCGCGGUCCAAUGAGCCCGACGACGAGGCCGAUGAUGGUGAUCACGACCAGGAUCUCGAUCAGCGUGUAGCCGUCCUCGCC
rnacentral:misc_RNA from 1 species